ACGGUGAGCUCGGCGAACGGUUCCGCCGUUUUCUCCGGUGAUGAAGCCUGCAUUCAAUGCACCGGCGCAGACGCUCGCGGGGAGAUCUCGCGCUCUAACCGCCCCCAAAACCUCCCGCAAGGAGCCGCACUAAUGCCAUACACUCAUCUGAAAGCCCGCCUGAGCGAUAUCAUAAGGAAAACAUAGCUACAUUGUCUUAUGCUUUUCGGACACACUACAGUAGAGUGUAGUCACCAGGGGGCAUGCACGCGGUAUUGCGCUUCAGGAAACAUUGUAACCUCUGCGAUGCGCUCGCGGAAUAAUUCAGCCUGUGUGCGUGAUUCGGGAUCUGCUCGAGUAUGAAUGCUUGGACGGCGGAGGCGCGAGCGUGCUGACGGUCUUCAUAUUGCCGUGUCGGUUGCCUUCCCUGCUGCCCCCGUCUCUUUCUCUUUCUCCUUCUAUCUCCCUCCGCCGCUGUUGGGAACUGAGCUAACAUGGCGACUGUACCAGUGUAUUGCAUCUGCAGAUUACCGUACGACGUAACCCAGUUCAUGAUCGAAUGCGAUGCCUGCAAAGACUGGUUUCACGGCAGCUGUGUGGGAGUGGAUGAGGAUGACGCACCGGACAUUGACAUUUACCACUGCCCCAACUGCGAAAAAACACACGGCAAAUCCACAUUGAAAAAGAAAAAGAACUGGAAUAAACAUGACACAGGGCAAAGCGGAGACGUCAAACCGGUUCAGAAUGGCAGCCAGGUGUUUAUAAAGGAGCUGCGCAGCAGGACGUUCCCCAGUUCAGAGGAUGUGGUGGUCAAGCUCAGUGGGAAUCAGCUGACCUUGGACUAUCUAGAAGAAAACGGCUUCAACGAGCCCAUCCUGAUCCAGAAGAAAGAGGGGCUCGGGAUGACCAUGCCUGCUCCCACCUUUUACGUCAGUGAUGUCGAAAACUAUGUUGGGCCAGAUGUUCCUGUGGAUGUUGUGGAUGUCACCAAACAGACAGACAGCAAGAUGAAGUUAAAAGAAUUUGUGGAUUAUUAUUACAGCACAAACAGAAAGAAGGUGUUAAACGUCAUCAAUCUGGAAUUCUCACAGACAAGAAUGGCAAGUAUUGUUGAAAGUCCGCAGAUUGUGAGGAGGCUGUCAUGGGUGGCUAACUACUGGCCUGAUGAUGCUCUGCUUGGGAAGCCCCAAGUCACCAAAUACUGUCUGAUCUGCGUGAAGGACAGCUACACCGAUUUCCAUAUUGAGUGUGCCGGUGCCUCUGUGUGGUACCAUGUCCUGAAGGGUGAGAAGAUCUUCUUCCUGAUCAAGCCCACCUCAGCCAACCUGUCUCUGUACGAGCGCUGGAGAUCCUCCUCCAACCACUGCGAGAUGUUCUUUGCCGACCAGGUGGACAAGUGCUACAAAUGCACAGUGAAGCAGGGCCAGACGCUCUUCAUUCCAUCAGGAUGGAUUAAUGCAGUAUUGACGCCUGUGGACUGUCUUGCCUUCGCCGGACACUUUGUCCACAAUCUAAGUGUUGAGAUGCAGAUGAGGGCAUAUGAGGUGGAAAAAAGACUCAAGAUCGCUAGUCUCACUCCAUUUCCCAACUUCGAGACGGCGUGCUGGUACGCGGGGAGGCACUACCUGGAGAGGUUUAAAAGUUUACAUAAGGCAAAUAAACAACCAGCAGCUUACCUUAUACAUGGUGCCAAAAUUAUCAACGGAGCCUUUAGAUCAUGGACUAAAAAACAGGCCCUUCUUGAACAUGAAGAUGAGCUUCCUGAAAACAUGAAACCCACACAGCUUAUUAAAGACCUUGCCAAAGAGAUUCGGAUUGCUGAGAAUGCAACUAAAGCCAUAAAGAGUGAGUUGAGCAACUCCAAGCCUCCAGCGGAAGAACCCCCAUCAGCCCCUUCAGAACCAGAAGAACCCAUGUCUCCAUCCCAUAUGUCCACUCCACCCCGAGACAAACCAGCCAGGAAAAAAGCCACCAAACCUCCAAAACCACCUAAACCACCCAAGAUGCCCAAGGCCCCAAAGCCCCCCAAAGUUCCUAAAGUGAAAGAGGGUGGCAAGAAGAAAGUGAAAAAAGUGAAAGAAGGUGGUCUGCCAGAGAAAAAGCCAUCCAGCCUGGCAGCUCUCGAGUCCCAUGCAAAGGACAUCCUUAGCAAGAUGGAUCAGCCUAAAAAAGCUCCAAAGAGUGUGAUGAGCUUCAUGGAAAAAGAAACGAAUAAACAGAACAAUGUGGAGAAGUUUGAGAUGCGAGAGCCCAACAAGAACAAAACAGAAGCAAAAUGGAAAUAUAAGAAUAGCAAACCAGAUUCAUUACUAAAAAUGGAGGAAGAGCACAAAUUUGAAAAAACACCUCUAGGACAUAGAGACAAUAGAUUUUCCUUUACAAUGUCUCACAAGAAAUUGCUGGGGGCAAAGACGCUGAAGCCGCAGACCAACUCGAGUUUGUUUGGCUCCUUACAGAACGUGAAAGAAGACAAAGCCAAGCCAGUACGAGACGAGUAUGAGUACGUCUCAGAUGAGGGUGAACUCAAAAUUGACGAGUUCCCCAUCAGGAGGAAAAAGGCUCCAGUUAAAAGGGACUUUUCCUUUCUAUCGAACAUCCGGACAUCAGAACCCAUCAAGACAUCAAAAAAGCCAAAAAUGCAAUCCUCGGAUAUUAAGAGUGCAGACUCUUCAGAUGAGGAGUCACUUCACAUAGACACAGAGGCCAAGCCAGAGGUCAAAAGCCGUAACUCCAAGGCUUGCAAAAAGAAAGGGGGCAGCGCGGCAGGGAUCCUAGACCUCCUGCAAGCCAGCAAGCAAGUCGGUGGCAUUGACUACAACAACAGUCAGCCACCUGCAUCCCCCAGUACACAGGAGGCCAUCCAGGGCAUGUUGUCUAUGGCUAACCUGCAGUCUUCGGACGCCUGUCUGCAGCCAGCCUGGAACAACAGCCAGGCCAAAAGCAACUCUCACAGCGGGACGGCUGGUAAAAAACCUGCAGCAGCCAGCAACAACAAGCGUCCCUCCGCCAAACGGCCUCCCAAAAAGCCACGUAAAAGCAGCAGCGUGGACAGUGGCGACAUGUUCGAUGACGACGAUGACCAGGACCACCUGGAUGCCUGCUUCAAGGACUCAGACUAUGUUUACCCUUCUCUGGAGUCUGAAGAGGACAGCCCCAUCUUCAAAUCACGGUCAAAGAAAAGGAAAAGCUCAGAUGACACUCCAUAUAGUCCAACAGCACGUGUUGGACCCUCUGUACCACGACAGGAAAGACCAACACGUGAAGGGGCCAGGGUCGCGUCCAUAGAGACUGGCCUGGCCGCUGCUGCUGCCAAACUCUCUCAUCAGGAAGAGCAGCAGAAGAUAAAGAAGAAAAAGAAAAGUGUCAAAAAGAAGCCCGUGGCUGUAGAGGAGCCUCAGAAACACUCUCAGGACAGCAGUUCUCCAGAGGCAACCCCGGACUCGGAGGGUAACGCGGCUGACCAGGAGUACGGCAGCGGAACGGUCAAGAUAGCCGGCGGCUCACAGCCCAUGGCCCCAGGAGUCUUCCUCAAUCAGAGACGCCCCUCCACUUCAUCUCCAAACAAUGCCUCAGCACAGCCAGCAAAAGUGGAACGUGGCAACUCAACAGAUGCCAAAGCAUAUUUGCUCAGCUGUAUGCUUGGACAUUGAAAAGCUACUUCUGCCAGAUCAAGAAAUUUAAUACUUGAUCGCAUCUACACAAAAUACUGAAGAUCAGCAUCCAGCCAAGCGGCUAAAGAAAGGCAUGGCAACAGCCAAACAAAGACUGGGAAAAAUCUUAAAGAUCCAUCGGAACGGGAAGCUUCUUCUGUAACAGGAACAGUGGAGGAGAUCUGACAUUUUCUCCUGACGUUCUUAUGGACACAAUGGACUAGCCAAUCUGAUCCCUCCCUCUCCCUCUCUCUCUCUCUCUCUCUCUCUCUCCCUCUCUCUCUCUCUCUCUCCCUCUCCCCCAAACUGUGGACAAGAACUGAAAGACGGAAGGGGAGUGUGCGAGUCACGCAACUUUUUCGAUUUCUAAAAGAAGAGCUUAGGUCAGAAUAGGUUUUUGCUUCUACUUAUACUUUAUAACUUUCAGAUAUUAAAAAAUGUACAGAAUACCUGCUAUUAAUAUUUUGUAAGAAGAAUUUGUCUCGUUUUACUACAGCUGUCAGUUUAUCAGGGGUUGCUAAGAUAUUAUAAAAUAAUAAAUAGCAGUCAUUCCAAGAUAAAGAAAGUAUCCCUUGCAUGUAUCCGGUUGCAUGCAUGCAUCGGUAGAGAGGGCUGGGACGGGGGUUAAAAUCCAGGAAUUCACUUCUACUCUUUGGAUGUGGCUUAUCAUUGUCUUUCAAUGUUGAAUAAGUAUUACUGAACUUUUUUUUUUCGUUCAUUUUCACAACGACUGCCCCCCAUGAGACCACCACAUCACCACAUCCUAUUGUCUUGUGGUAAAAGGAUAUUUUAGAAUGAGUUACUGUUGUUUGCUGAGCACUAUCACUGAUAAUAAUAAUAUUUAUUGACCUAAUAUAAUUGUACGUCAGAUAGAUAGCUUGAGGAACGCCAGAAGGCACUUAAAGACAUCAACAAAGCACAAAACCGCGACAUUGUGAGUAGUUUAAAACGUCUUUUUAUAACGGUGACUGUGAACCAUGUACUGAUGAUAGUUUCUUUCUUUUCUUUUUUUUCAGCCAAAAUUCAGUUUCAUGAAACCAAAAUCAUCCAAAUUCAUAAAACGUCCUGAUUACGUGUAUAUCAAAUAUUAACCACAUCAGGUUCAUUAUUUCAAAUAAGCUUGUCGUUCACAUUGAAGCAUUAUAAAUUUUAGGUCCAACACACUAAUAGGGCAGACUGAUAACUGCUAGCAACACUCAAAAGUAUUUUAAACCCCAGAUUCUUUUCUGACUAUAUUAAAUCAUCAUGUUUAUCCCUGAGGAAGUUUUGUGUCUUUUAUAUGAACUGAGCUUCAUGUUACUGUAAUGUUGGAAAAUGUAGCUUCUCUCUUUUUCUUUUUUAAAAACAAAACAAAAACAAUUCAUAUCCUAUAAUGAUCUAAACAAAAAAACACUAAUUACAUGGGACCUUGAGCUCUGAUAAGCCUCAUCCACAUUGAUGUGUAUCACUACAUUAGGGAUACUUUCUCUCCUAUGUUGGUCUCGCAGGCAGCACCCAUUAACCCUAGACUGAAAUAUGCAUUUAUAUUGCUUCACAGUACAGUAUGUAGAAUGUAGCCUGUAUAUAGCUUUUUAAAUGAAUACGUUUUGUAUCCUUUUUCCUUAAUACUUCAUUAUACAUUUUUACUAGUUUUUUGCAAAGUGUAAACAAGAAAAAUAUAUAUAAAGAUAUAGAAAUAGUCAUUUCUUUCUAUUUUUUUUUUUUUUUGGUAGAUACACAAUAGCUGAGCUUUUUUAUUUUUAAUCAUCUUAUUUUGUUUUAUUUACUUUUUUUUUGUUAGACAACGGUGUUGCCUGGAGAACAAAAGCAUCAUCAUAGCAGCUCAUAUGGCCUUACAUAAACAAAACUACACGUAUUGUACUGAAUCAUUUACACAACUUUGAGGGGGGAAAAUGUCAAGUCAAAACUAAAGUUUCUACACACAGCCUCAUGUUUUGGGUUUAACUGCCCUUACUGGGAGUCAAAGUUCUUUUACUAGCACCUUGUGAAGUGUUGUCUGUGUCAGUGAUGUAAUUUAUUAAUGUUUGUAGCCUUUUAUACUUGUAUAAUUCUUAUGAGAUUUUGUUUUAAAUAUUUUAUCAGUGUGAAAGCCCCAUAGGAAACUUAUCAUUAAAAUGCCUUGUUGAGUUCCAUAAAACUCAUUUUUGCCUUUUUGUUUUUGCCUUUUUCAUUUUGUUAACUGAAACAGGUCAUUCAUUUAAAUUGUUACGUUGUUGUUGUUAUUAUUAUUAUUAUUAUUAGCAUCAUCAUCAUGCAGCUCUUUUAAAAACCAUAUGCCAUGAACUUUAUCAUUUAUUUUGAUAACAGAAUAUGUACAUUCUCAACAAGGUUUGCUGAUCAAUUGCAGUGUUUCAGUUAUCAAUGUAAAUCUUGUAUCCACCUUUUCUGGAGUGUAAAGCACUCAGAUCGAUCUUUGUCGAUGGAUCUAUUUCAGGUUUUAUUUGUACAAAAAUGUGUGUUGCUUUGUUGUGGUUUAUUUUUAUAUGUUCAAACCAAUUAAACACAUCCACUGUACCAGG